rnacentral:sRNA from 1 species
AUUACAACAAAAACUGGCGGCGAGGAACCGCGGAGAACUGUUGCCCUUCACCGCUUCAUUUUGUGCAGCCUGAAAGGGGCAGUCACAUAAGUCCGGACAGUUGAGAAGGCCACCCCGCUUCGUGCCUGCCGCCCAGUUCCUCUUAGGUCGUGGACUGGUGUGGAUCGCUGCUGCCUGUACUGUAAUUUUGGAAAUGCAGGAGAAAGUACGGAGCUUUUAGCUUUAGCUGACAUUUUGUGUUUAUUCUGCAAGUGGUCAUUUGGGACGGGGAAGUUCGGGUUCUUGCUUCAUUUAUUUAUUCAAUUAACUUUAUUAAGCCCCUGGAACAUGCUGAACCCUCUUUUGGGUACUGCAGAAUUGUGGUGGGCUUUACUUCAAGGCGCGCUGGCCUGUAUUAAGAAUUAAGAUAGAGGAGGCCGGGUGCAGUGGCUCGCCCCUGUAAUCUCAGCACUUUGGGAGGCCGAGGCAAGCGGAUCACCUGAGGUCAGGAGUUCAAGACCAGCCUGGCCAACAUAGUGAAAUCCCCAUCUCUACUAAAAAUACAAAAAUUAGCUGGGUGUGAUGGCAGGCGCCUGUAGUC